rfam:Camelus ferus unplaced genomic scaffold scaffold1838, whole genome shotgun sequence.
GAGGGUAUAGCUCAGUGGUAGAGUGUGUGCUUAGCAUGCAUGAGGUCCUGGGUUCAAUCCCCAGUACCUCCA